AGAGUUUGAUCCUGGCUCAGGAUGAGCGCUAGCUACAGGCUUAACACAUGCAAGUCGAGGGGAAACGAUAUUGGAAGCCUGCUUCCGAUAGGCGUCGACCGGCGCACGGGUGAGUAACGCGUAUCCAACCUGCCCACCACUUGGGGAUAACCUUGCGAAAGUAAGACUAAUACCCAAUGAUAUCUCUAGAAGACAUCUGAAAGAGAUUAAAGAUUUAUCGGUGAUGGAUGGGGAUGCGUCUGAUUAGCUUGUUGGCGGGGUAACGGCCCACCAAGGCGACGAUCAGUAGGGGUUCUGAGAGGAAGGUCCCCCANAUUGGAACUGAGACACGGUCCAAACUCCUACGGGAGGCA
rnacentral:rRNA from 1 species